CCUACGGGAGGCAGCAGUGGGGAAUAUUGGGCAAUGGGCGCAAGCCUGACCCAGCAACGCCGCGUGAAGGAAGAAGGCUUUCGGGUUGUAAACUUCUUUUAUCAGGGACGAAGCAAGUGACGGUACCUGACGAAUAAGCCACGGCUAACUAAGUGCCAGCAGCCGCGGGAAUACGUAGGUGGCAAGCGUUAUCCGGAUUUACUGGGUGUAAAGGGCGUGUAGGCGGGAGUGCAAGUCAGAUGUGAAAACUAUGGGCUCAACCCAUAGCCUGCAUUUGAAACUGUAGUUCUUGAGUGCUGGAGAGGCAAUCGGAAUUCCGGGUGUAGCGGUGAAAUGCGUAGAUAUAAGGAGGAACACCAGUGGCGAAGGCGGAUUGCUGGACAGCAACUGACGCUGAGGCGCGAAAGCGUGGGGAGCAAACAGGAUUAGAUACCCCAGUAGUC
rnacentral:rRNA from 1 species